GAUGAAGAACGCAGCGAAAUGCGAUACGUAAUGUGAAUUGCAAAUUCAGUGAAUCAUCGAGUCUUUGAACGCACAUUGCGCCCCCUGGUAUUCCGGGGGGCAUGCCUGUCCGAGCGUCAUUGCUGCCCUCAAGCACGGCUUGUGUGUUGGGCCCCGUCCUCGGAUCCCGGGGGACGGGCCCGAAAGGCAGCGGCGGCACCGCGUCCGGUCCUCGAGCGUAUGGGGCUUUGUCACCCGCUCUGUAGGCCCGGCCGGCGCUUGCCGAUCAACCCAAAUUUUUAUCCAGGUUGACCUCGGAUCAGGUAGGGAUACCCGCUGAACUUAAGCAUAUCAAUAAGCGGAGGA
rnacentral:misc_RNA from 1 species